rnacentral:rRNA from 1 species
UACAGAGGUCUCAAGCGUUGUUCGGAUUCAUUGGGCGUAAAGGGUGCGUAGGUGGCAUGGUAAGUCGGAUGUGAAAUCCCGGGGCUCAACCCCGGAACUGCAUUCGAUACUGCUGCGCUAGAGUACUGGAGAGGAGAUUGGAAUUUACGGUGUAGCAGUGAAAUGCGUAGAUAUCAGGAGGAACACCGGUGGUGUAGACGGCUCUCUGGACCGUAACUGACGCUGAGGCACGAAAGCGUGGGUAGCAAACAGG